UGAGCAAUCUGCCCUUCUCUUUGGAAUAAGCGUUGGAAACGACGUCUAAUGCCGAAUACGACCUCCUUUCGCAUGAUCGGAGGUGGAAAGCUCCGGCGGAGAAGGAUGAGCUCGCGGCCUAUCAGCUAGUUGGUGUGGGUAAUGGCCCACCAAGGCGACGACGGGUAGCCGGCCUGAGGAGGGUGACCGGCCACACUGGGACUGAGACACGGCCCAGACCUCCGUACGGGAGNAG
rnacentral:rRNA from 1 species